rnacentral:rRNA from 1 species
UACGUAGGGGGGCAAGCGUUGUCCGGAUUUAUUGGGCGUAAAGAGCGUGUAGGCGGCCAGGUAGGUCCGUUGUGAAAACUGGAGGCUUAACCUCCAGCUGUCGAUGGAAACCAUCUGGCUAGAGUCCGGAAGAGGAGAGUGGAAUUCCUGGUGUAGCGGUGAAAUGCGUAGAUAUCAGGAGGAACACCUGUGGCGAAAGCGGCUCACUGGACCAUAACUGACGCUGAUGCACGAAAGCUAGGGGAGCAAACAGG